rnacentral:rRNA from 1 species
GUGGGGAAUAUUGGUCAAUGGGCGCGAGCCUGAACCAGCCAAGUAGCGUGAGGGACGACUGCCCUAUGGGUUGUAAACCUCUUUUGUUUGGGAAUAAAGUGGGCCACGGGUGGCCUUUUGUAUGUACCUUACGAAUAAGCAUCGGCUAAUUCCGUGCCAGCAGCCGCGGUAAUACGGAAGAUGCGAGCGUUAUCCGGAUUUAUUGGGUUUAAAGGGAGCGUAGGCGGGUCUUUAAGCCAGCGGUCAAAUGUCAGGGCCCAACCUUGGCAUGCCGUUGGAACUGGGGACCUUGAAUACACACAAGGAAGGUGGAAUUCGUCGUGUAGCGGUGAAAUGCUUAGAUAUGACGAAGAACUCCGAUUGCGAAGGCAGCCUUCUGGGGUGCGAUUGACGCUGAGGCUCGAAAGUGCGGGUAUCGAACAGG